rnacentral:misc_RNA from 1 species
AUUGGGAUUAUAACAACUUCCACCCUGCUGGAUGGCUGAGCAAUCUGCUCCCAUCCCACAAGCAUAAUCAAGCGCCGACUGAAGUGAAGUGUCUCCAGCUCCAUUCUUUGCAAUACACCAGCUCUGCCCUCCAGUAGCAGGAGCGUUUGUGGUUGCAGGAGGCGUUACUGGGGUGGUGGCAGGAACACCCCCUACAGGAUUUGGGUUAGUUGUUACAGGAUUACUUACGGGUGUACUUGUGCUGGGGGUGGUAACUGGAUUAGUUAGUGGUACCGGAGGAUUGGGGUUUGGGUCAGUCACAGGGGUCACAGAAGGAGCUGCUGGAGGUAUAGACCCAAAAUUUGGAAUUCCAAGAUUAGGAUUUGUGGACGGGACAGUAACAACUGUUGGAGCUGAGUUAUCUGGAGGCAUAUUAGACGGAGUUGUGACAGGAUUUACUAUAGGGGUUGUAGGAAAUCCAGUUGUUACCCAUUAGAGCUAUUAAACAUGAUUUGAUGGAUCCACCAGCAACAACUG